ensembl:lncRNA
CGCUACACUUCCUGCCAUAUAGUGAACCAGCGUUUCGCCGGCAUGCUGCUGUUAGACCUGCACGGCAUGUGUGCAGCUGUGUACACCGCAGCUGGGAGCGGGUUAACUCCACAGGACUGACUGAGAGCCAGUGAAAGUUCUUGGACGCACCGUGUUUGAAGGAAACCUCUGGAUUCAAACAGUGAAUCUGAGUCGGAAAAGGUCCGGAGACGAGUGUGUGUCUGCAGGUCUGUUGGCUGCUUCUAACCCGAGUCCACUAACAGCAGUUGGCGAGACGUCAUUAACUCCAGCAGUCCCUCAGAGAGAUCUCCCUGCUUCUGUGCAGAUUUUCCAAUUCAAAACAGCUUACAUGAUACUUGGUUGGGAACAAA